GGAAUCUUCCACAAUGGGCGAAAGCCUGAUGGAGCAACGCCGCGUGUGUGAUGAAGGGUUCCGGCUCGUAAAACACUGUUGUAAGAGAAGAAUGACAUUGAGAGUAACUGUUCAAUGUGUGACGGUAUCUUACCAGAAAGGAACGGCUAAAUACGCGCCAG
rnacentral:rRNA from 1 species